UGGGGAAUUUUGCGCAAUGGACGAAAGUCUGACGCAGCAACGCCGCGUGGAGGAUGAAGGCCUUCGGGUCGUAAACUCCUGUCGAUGGGGACGAAAACCUCGUAAGGGGUCUGACUGUACCCGUUGAGGAAGCCACGGCUAACUCCGUGCCAGCAGCCGCGGUAAUACGGAGGUGGCAAGCGUUGUUCGGAAUUACUGGGCGUAAAGGGCGCGUAGGCGGCGGAACAAGUCAGAUGUGAAAGCCCCGGGCUUAACUCGGGAAUUGCAUCUGAAACUGUUUUGCUUGAGUUCUGGAGGGGAUGGUGGAAUUCCCAGUGUAGCGGUGAAAUGCGUAGAUAUUGGGAGGAACACCUGCGGCGAAGGCGGCCAUCUGGACAGUGACUGACGCUGAGGCGCGAAAGCUAGGGGAGCGAACGGGAUUAGAUACCCCGGUAGUCCUAGCCGUAAACGAUGGGCACUUGGUGUUGGGGGUAUUGAGUCCCUCGGUGCCGGAGCUAACGCGAUAAGUG
rnacentral:rRNA from 1 species